UAUAUAAGAGCCCUGAGGGACGCCCCGAGACACUCCUGUUUCUGCACUACACUCAGGAUGAAGCUGCUGCUGGGCUUUGCUGCUCUUCUCGUCGUGGCCGGCGGCGCCAGCGUCUCUCUGGAAGACCUGGAGUUUCACGCAUGGAAGCUCAAGUUUGGAAAGUCGUACAGUUCCCCGUCUGAGGAGGCUCAGCGCAGAGACGUGUGGCUGCGUAACCGUAAGCUGGUGCUGGUGCACAACAUGUUGGCCGAUCAGGGCAUCAAGUCCUACCGCCUCGGGAUGAACUACUUCGCUGAUCUGGAAAACCACGAGUACAGGAGCCUGGUGUCCCAGGGCUGCCUCAGGUCCUUCAACAGCUCCCUGCCCCGUCACGGCUCCACCUUCCUCCACACCCCUGAGCUCACAGACCUGCCCGCCGCUGUGGACUGGAGGGACAAGGGCUUCGUCACUCCAGUCAAGGACCAGAAGGCGUGUGGCUCCUGCUGGGCCUUCAGCGCUACGGGUUCACUGGAGGGACAGACCUUCAGGAAGACGGGGAAACUGGUGUCUCUGAGUGAGCAGCAGCUGGUCGACUGCUCUGGACACUUUGGGAACAUGGGCUGCAGUGGAGGACUGAUGGACCAGGCCUUCCAGUACAUCGAGGCCAACGGAGGCAUCGACACAGAGGAGGCCUACCCCUACGAGGCCGAGGAUAGGAAAUGCCGCUACGAUCCUUCCAAAAUCGGAGCCACGUGCUCGGGCUACGUCGACGUUAAGAGCGGAGACGAGGACGCGCUGCAGGAGGCCGUGGCCACUGUCGGUCCCGUCUCUGUGGCCAUCGACGCCGGUCACGAGUCCUUCCAGUUCUAUGAAUCAGGAGUGUAUGACGAGCCGGCGUGCAGCAGCUCCGACCUGGACCAUGGAGUUCUGGCUGUGGGCUACGGGUCGGACGGGAACGGGGAUUACUGGCUGGUCAAGAACAGCUGGGGAGAGAGCUGGGGGACCAAGGGCUACAUCAUGAUGACCAGGAACAAACACAACCAGUGUGGCAUCGCGACGGCCGCCAGCUACCCCCUGGUCUGAGCAGGUCAGGACAUCACGUGUACAGGAAAUGAAAUGCAUGAAUCGUACCAGUUAGUCCAUUAUCAGAACAACAACCGUCUGACAUGUGGCUGAACAGUGACUUUAAAUCGAAUCUAAGGGAAAACAACACCUUUUGUCUCAGGGUAGAAAAUAUUUGUGAAGUCGCUUUGUUAUUUUGAAAGGUGGGGGCAUGAUGAGCAAACGUUAUUUUAUGUACAUAUGCUAGAUUUGUAGUCAAGACCAAGACCAGUCCAAGACCACAGGGUCCCGAGACCAGGACAAGACCGAGACGUCUGAGGGUCGAGACCGAAACAAGACGAAGAUUUUUAAAGGCCAUCUUUGUCAUUUUCUACAUUUAUUUGUAUUUUACAGUUAUUUUGACACAUUUAUAUCAAUGUUUUUAAAGAUCUAUCCCCACUUGAUCUGAUUAAUGAUUAUUUAGGCCUAAAAUAAGCCAAGCAAACCUUACUGCACUGAAACACUGCGCCACUUUUUUGGACCCUCACCAACAGUUGGGGAACCCCUUCUUUAAGAGAACUAUUUCAUUUCAUUUUAUUUAAUUUUAUUUGGGACAGUGCAUAUUAAUGAACAUCUACAACACUGCAGAGUAAAUAUGACACAUUAUAGCAAGAAUGAUCAUUUCCAUCUGUCGUCCCUCGGCAGGAAACACCACAAAUUUAACAGAAAAAACAAAAACAAGUGACAGUUAUACACUAAAAGUUCCACUGGCACUUUACAGAAAAAUGUGAAUAAAGUGAACAAAGUGGGUAGGAUUUUUAACCCUGUUCAAAUUUGUAGCUUCUGCACAUUUACCAAACGUAUUUGUGCACUUUUAUUAGGCAAACUUCAACCACGUCACGGUAAGAAGUUAAUUGUCGGCCGUAAUGAAAUAUUAUCACACUUGUCGAAUGUCAGACCUCGAGUCCGAGUCCAAGCGCGUUCAAGACCGAGACAAGACUGCGACCAAAUGCAGCUGAGUCCGAGACGAGACCAAUACCAUUAAAAAAAAAACGGUCUUGAGGCUGAUCUCAAGACCAAGACCGGCCUCGAGCACUAGGACACUACCGUAUGCCUCACAGUGCAGCUCCUGACCUCUUGUGUCUUUCUCAUUUCACUACAACUACAAAAAUAUUGAGUGGAUUGAGUGAGAGCGUUGUUGUAAACGUUAUUAUUAUUAUUCAUUCAAAAGCUGCUCAAGUAAAUGUAAAGUAAAUGUACGGUGUAACUUUCCUUCUCAACUGUUAGGUUUAUCUAGACAUUUAAAAACAAGAAGAAAGACAAGAGAUUAAUUCAGUUUUACUCAUGAGGAGAACGGGCAGAGAGUGGGCAUCAAAACCAACAGUCUCCACACGUUCUGAUGACUCAAGGCCGUUCUCCUCUUUUUAUUUCAUUAGGAGGCCCUAGUUACAGAAUGAUAAUUCUCAAGGGGAAGGGGAAACCAGCAAAGACAUAAUAAGAAACUGAUGCAGCUAAGCAUAGUACAAACACAUAAAACAUGAUUAACAAUCAGGAGGUGCCUUAGGUCAGACACCAUCAUAACUCUGGCAUGUGUGACAGUGGGAGUUGGCUUCAUGUGAGGAAUCAUCUCGAGGUUCACUAGAGCGAUAGGACACUGCACACAGUUGUCAAACACAAAGAGGUUAUUCAUUUUCAUACAAGUGAUUGGUACAUUAUAAAUCAAAGAAUUGUAGUACAUAAAUGGUUAACUCAUAGGCCUAGAAUAUCACACAAGCAUUUAGCAAAUAUGGGAUAAUAAAAUUAUUCUGACAUCAACACACUCAGGUAAUAAAUGGUUCAAACAGUGGUCACAGUUCACAUGUUC